CCACAGUCCUCCCCUGAUCCUCACACUGUACUUACCUCCCUGUGUGCAUUUACAUUAGAACUCUUGGAUGAAGAUGCGUUCUAUCUCUCUAGGUCAUAUAGAGCAUGGGAAGAGCACAUGUAGGUGGGAAGGGUUCUGUCCCACAGGUUUCCCAAGGAACCCCCAAAUGAGGGACUUAUCAGAAGUGCUAACAAAAGGCACAUGUUUUCCUGACUACCUGGCAAUCUGUAUUUGAUCCUUUGGCAGCCCUUCUCAAGGACCUCUGUGAGACAAAAUCAGAAAUGGCUUCCCUGGGGACCAAGAGAGCCCACAAGCCUCUUCCUGCUGCUUCUUCUACCCCUGUAUUUUGUUUGACUCUCUAAAUUUGUCUCAGCUCCAGCCUGCAGGAUUCCCUUUGGCAUUUAUCCCAAGGCAAGUCUUGUGAUAAUGAACUCUCAGCUUUUGUUCAUCUGGGAAUGUUUUAAUUUCUCCUUCACUUUUGAAAUAAAGUUCUGCUGGAUAUAGAAUUCUUGGUUGACAGAUUUUUUUUUUCCUUUUAGCUCUCUGAAUAUAUCAGCCCACUGCCUUCUAUCCUCCAAAAUUUCUGAUGAAAAAUCUACUAAUAAUGUAUUGAAGAUCUGUUAUAUGUGAGGAGUCACUUCUCUCUUUCUGCUUUCAUGGUUCUUUGUCUUUCAGCAGUUUGAUCAUCAUGUGUCUCACCAUAGGGCUUUUUAUCUUCAUUGUACUUAGAGUUGGUUGAGUUUCUUGGGUGUUUAUAUCUUUCAUCAGGCUUGAAGUUUCACCUACCACUUCAACUAUUCUGUAUGCCCCUUUGGCUCUUUCUCUCUCUUCUUCCUGGAACUUAUUAUUAGUAAAUUGGUCUGCUUAAUGUUGGCCUACAGGUCCCUUAGCCUCUGUUCACUUUCCUUCUGUCUUUUUUGCUUUCCUGUUGCUCAGACUAAGUAAUUUCUACUGUUCCAACUUUAGGUUUGCUGAUCCUUUUCUCUGCCUGUUCAAAUAUGCCUAUGGACCUCUUCUAGUAAAUUUUUCAUUUCAGUUAUUGUACUUUUUAG
rnacentral:lncRNA from 10 species